GUUGAUGUCAUCACAGAAGAUGAUCUGGUUGACUCAUGCAAACCUGGAGACAAUGUCGCAAUUGUUGGAGUUUACAAAGCUAUUCCUGGGAAAAGUCAAGGCAGUGUCAAUGGAGUAUUCAGGACUGUGCUUAUAGCAAACAAUGUUUCUCUACUGAA